UGUUUGAUGUUCUAACGUGGACCCGUGAUCCGGGUUGCGGACAGUGUCUGGUGGGUAGUUUGACUGGGGCGGUCUCCUCCUAAAGAGUAACGGAGGAGCACGAAGGUUGGCUAAUCCUGGUCGGACAUCAGGAGGUUAGUGCAAUGGCAUAAGCCAGCUUGACUGCGAGCGUGACGGCGCGAGCAGGUGCGAAAGCAGGUCAUAGUGAUCCGGUGGUUCUGAAUGGAAGGGCCAUCGCUCAACGGAUAAAAGGUACUCCGGGGAUAACAGGCUGAUACCGCCCAAGAGUUCAUAUCGACGGCGGUGUUUGGCACCUCGAUGUCGGCUCAUCACAUCCUGGGGCUGAAGUAGGUCCCAAGGGUAUGGCUGUUCGCCAUUUAAAGUGGUACGCGAGCUGGGUUUAGAACGUCGUGAGACAGUUCGGUCCCUAUCUGCCGUGGGCGCUGGAGAACUGAGGGGGGCUGCUCCUAGUACGAGAGGACCGGAGUGGACGCAUCACUGGUGUUCGGGUUGUCAUGCCAAUGGCACUGCCCGGUAGCUAAAUGCGGAAGAGAUAAGUGCUGAAAGCAUCUAAGCACGAAACUUG
rnacentral:rRNA from 1 species